rnacentral:piRNA from 1 species
AAGGAACCACGUACCUAUGUCUGUCUC